AUUGAACGCUGGCGGCAGGCUUAACACAUGCAAGUCGAACGAGUGGCGGACGGGUGAGUAAUGCUUGGGAAUCUGGCUUAUGGAGGGGGAUAACGACGGGAAACUGUCGCUAAUACCGCGUACCAUAGCAUGAGCCCAAGUGGGAUUAGGUAGUUGGGGGGGUAAUGGCCUACAAAGCCGACGAUCACUAGCUGGUCUGAGAGGAUGAACAGCAACACCGGGACUGAGACACGGCCCGGACUCCUACGGGAGGCAGAAGUGGGGAAUAUUGCGCAAUGGGGGCAACCUGACGAAGCAAUGCCGCGUGAAUGAAGAAGGCCUUCGGGUUGUAAAGUUCUUUCGGUGACGAGGCGUUAAUCACAGAAGAAGCACCGGCGAACUACGUGCCAGCAGCCGCGGUAAUUC
rnacentral:rRNA from 1 species